rnacentral:SRP_RNA from 1 species
CCGUGCUGAGCGGGGAUGUAGCGGAGCCCUGAACCCGCAAUCCGCUCCAGCGGGGCUGAACGCCCGCCCGAGGAUCCGGCCAUCGGGGCCAGUACGCCGCGGGCAGCGUUGACGGCCAGGUCCCGCGCGAUGUGAGCCCGCGAACCAGGUCAGGUCCGGAAGGAAGCAGCCUUAAGCGUCAGCCCGCAAGCGCCGCGGAUCAGCCUGACCGGAGCCAGCCACGGCGGGCACGCCCGGGGACCGUCUUUCGAAGGCGGGCCGCACGG